UCCUGCCUGUAGUAUCCCACAUCAAGGAGCCACAUUUAUUUGUCCUGCCUGUAGUACUCUGGCUUGGCCUAGGCUUGAAAGUUCGGUAAAUGGAAAAAUCCAAUUUAGAUACUAACCGGUUUGACAAGUAUUUUUUUUUUUUCUCCUUCUUUUCUUUUCUUUUCUUUUUGAGUCUUACUAAUGAAUAUCCAAAAUAAUGUAUCCAAAUAAUCUAUUUUCCAUAAAAACCUAUAUAUCCUAAUAUAAAUUAUCUAUAGUAAGAUUCCAAAUUUAAAAAUUCUAAAGUUACCAUUCAUG
rnacentral:lncRNA from 1 species